rnacentral:lncRNA from 1 species
UACACUUGCUUCAUCAGUUUUGACCUUUCAGAAAAUGCAGAACUGAAGUGAGAUCGUAAAAGUUCCGUGAAGGAUUGUGAAGUUUGGAACAACAAAAAAAGAGAAAGGACGGCCGCUGAGGAACUCAGGCACACCAAAUAAAGACAUCAUUUCCGAAUCUGCAGCGAGCAGAGUGAAACCCAGACAUUAUAUCAUCUGCUGGAAGACAGAAGGCUGCUGUUAAUCUCCUGACAUCUAACUACAACCUUAUUUAUUCAUGUGGAAAUAAAGACUUAAGAUGAUGGCGUUUCA